rnacentral:rRNA from 1 species
GCACUAAGUGGGUGGUAAACUCCAUCUAAAACUAAAUAUAACCAUGAGACCGAUAGUAAACAAGUACCGUGAGGGAAAGUUGAAAAGAACUCUGAAUAGAGAGUUAAAAAGUACGUGAAACUGCUUAGAGGUUAAGCCCGAUGAACCUGAAUAUCCAUUAUGGAAAAUUCAUCGUUACGAUUGCUAUAUGAAUAAUAUAGUGAGAAUGGCGUGCAUUUUUUCCAUAUAAGGACAUUGUAAUCUAUUAACAUACACAAUUUAUCAUAAGAUCGAUGGCGAAAGUUUAUUCAAAUUAGUAUGCUUGCGUAUUAACAUAGAAUAAGUGCUGUCGAUUGGAUAAAGUGUUGAUAGAUCUAUUAUAUAUAGCGCUUGAAUACUUGUAUUCUAUAAUGGCACAUUAAUCUUGAUUUUUGUGUUUAUUAUAUGCGCUUAUAUGAUUUACAAUGCGAAAGAUUCAGGAUACCUUCGGGACCCGUCUUGAAACACGGACCAAGGAGUCUAACAUAUUUGCAAGUUAUUGGGAAUUUAAACCUAAUAGCGAAAUUAACAUAACUUUUAUGGGAUUAGUUUUUAGUCUAUUUAUAGUCUAUUAAUUCAAUCCCGGGGCGUUCUAUCAGUUAUGCAUAAUAAUAUUUAUAUUAUUUAUGCCUCUAACCAGAGCGUACCUUGAGCAUAUAUGCUGUGACCCGAAAGAUGGUGAACUAUACUUGAUCAGGUUGAAGUCAGGGGAAACCCUGAUGGAAGACCGAAACAGUUCUGACGUGCAAAUCGAUUGUCA